rnacentral:misc_RNA from 1 species
GCAGGUUGGACCAAUUGAUAGAGUUAGGAAUCCACAAACACACGAGCAGAGAAAUUCAAAUGUAAUACAGAAAAGAAAGAUGAAAAGAUGAAGAUAAUAGCCCGGCUUUAUUUCUCAGAAAUCAAGUAUCAGUUACGGAGAAUUUCAGAAUGAAAUAACUCUCCCCAGCAGAAAACACCCUCUGUCCCAUGCUAACAGCUAGCUGGAUUACAAAAAACUUCUUUUCAUGCCCCCACUCACUCCUUUACCAUCCCUUAUAUACUUUGCCCUCAGCUGCCUCUUCCACAUGCUCUCCCGAGUAACCCUCUAACAGAAUAUUGCUCUGCUGGACAAUUGAAUCCUGGCCUUUUAUUCUGGAAUAUGUCAACCAAGUCCUUCUGUUCCACUCCACAUUCCCAACAUAGCGCCUCUAAUUGUGAAAGGCAGGCGGUGCCUCUCAGGUGCUUUCCUUAGGAGCCUCAGUGUGUGCCUUCUUCUAGGCACAAGCCUAGGUGGCGAAGUCUGUAUUUAUUUUGUGUAUUUUAAUUAA